rnacentral:rRNA from 1 species
AUUGAACGCUUGCGGCAGGCCUAACACAUGCAAGUCGAACGCGUGGCGGACGGGUGAGUAAUGUCUUGGAAACUGCCUGAUGGAGGGGGAUAACUACUGGAAAUGGUAGCUAAUACCGCAUACCAUCGGAUGUGCCCAGAUGGGAUUAGCUAGUAGGUGGGGUAAAGGCUCACCUAGGCGACGAUACCUAGCUGGUCUGAGAGGAUGACCGGCCACACUGGAACUGAGACACGGUCCAGACGCCUACGGGAGGCAGCAGUGGGGAAUAUUGCACAAUGGGCGCAAGCCUGAUGCAGCCAUGCCGAGUGUAUGAAGAAGGCCUUCGGGUUGUAAAGUACUUUCAGCGGGGAGGCGUUACCCGCAGAAGAAGCACCGGCUAACUCCGUGCCAGCAGCCGCGGUAAUUC